rnacentral:rRNA from 1 species
ACGAUGAAGCCCCUUCGGGGGUGGAUUAGUGGCGAACGGGUGAGUAACACGUGGGCAAUCUGCCCUGCACUCUGGGACAAGCCCUGGAAACGGGGUCUAAUACCGGAUACGACCAUCUGAGGCAUCUCAUGGUGGUGGAAAGCUCCGGCGGUGCAGGAUGAGCCCGCGGCCUAUCAGCUUGUUGGUGAGGUAACGGCUCACCAAGGCGACGACGGGUAGCCGGCCUGAGAGGGCGACCGGCCACACUGGGACUGAGACACGGCCCAGACUCCUACGGGAGGCAGCAGUGGGGAAUAUUGCACAAUGGGCGCAAGCCUGAUGCAGCGACGCCGCGUGAGGGAUGACGGCCUUCGGGUUGUAAACCUCUUUCAGCAGGGAAGAAGCGUAAGUGACGGUACCUGCAGAAGAAGCGCCGGCUAACUACGUGCCAGCAGCCGGGGGUAAUUCCA